rnacentral:rRNA from 1 species
GAUGAACGCUGGCGGCGUGCCUAAUACAUGCAAGUCGAGCGAACGGACGAGAAGCUUGCUUCUCUGAUGUUAGCGGCGGACGGGUGAGUAACACGUGGAUAACCUACCUAUAAGACUGGGAUAACUUCGGGAAACCGUAUCUAAUACCGGAUAAUAUUUUGAACCGCAUGGUUCAAAAGUGAAAGACGGUCUUGCUGUCACUUGUAGAUGGAUCCGCGCUGCAUUAGCUAGUUGGUAAGGUAACGGCUUACCAAGGCAACGAUGCAUAGCCGACCUGAGAGGGUGAUCGGCCACACUGGAACUGAGACACGGUCCAGACUCCUACGGGAGGCAGCAGUAGGGAAUCUUGCGCAAUGGGCGAAAGCCUGACGGAGCGACGCCGCGUGAGUGAUGAAGGUCUUCGGAUCGUAAAACUCUGUUAUUAGGGAAGAACAGAUGUGUAAGUAACUGUGCACAUCUUGACGGUACCUAAUCAGAAAGCAACGGCUAACUACGUG